rnacentral:miRNA from 1 species
CGCCGGGAUACGUGUUUACCG